rnacentral:rRNA from 1 species
GUUUCGACSGGMGGAUAAAUGCUMCAGGAAUGUAGCUCCCUUCKGGGAGUGYUAUAGCCUGGAGUAUCAUGCGCCCAGUCGGGACCGAGGACCGCGCUUCGGCUAGGAUGCUGGCGUAAUGGUUGUAAGCGACCCGUCUUGAAACACGGACCAAGGAGUCUAACAUCUAUGCGAGUGUUUGGGUGAUAAACCCAUGCGCGGAAUGAAAGUGAACGGAGGUGGGAGCCCUUUUCGGGGGGCGCACCAUCGACCGAUCCAGAUGUCUUCGGAUGGAUUUGAGUAGGAGCAUAGCUGUUGGGACCCGAAAGAUGGUGAACUAUGCCUGGAUAGGGUGAAGCCAGAGGAAACUCUGGUGGAGGCUCGCAGCGGUUCUGACGUGCAAAUCGAUCGUCAAAUCUGGGUAUAGGGGCGAAAGGCAAGCUAACCAAUUGAAUUCUUUUCUUAUGACAAUCUGCUAACAGUUUUACAGACUAAUCGAACCAUCUAGUAAAUCGCUACUAGAGAUACUGAACGAAAAGGGGCUGUCAACCGCCUCAGUAGUCCCCCGUUGCUGGGGGGCCACAUCGCCUGUCUUCGGGAACACCUUAUUUCGGUUACCCGUACUGAGCACCGGCUCAGUCACUGACUAA